rnacentral:rRNA from 1 species
GACGAACGCUGGCGGCGUGCCUAAUAUAUGCAAGUCGAACGAGUGGCGGACGGGUGAGUAACACGUGGGAACCUACCCAUCAGAGGGGGAUAACACUUGGAAACAGGUGCUAAUACCGCAUAUUGAUGGAUGAACCCGCGGUGCAUUAGCUAGUAGGUGGGGUAAAGGCCUACCAAGGCGACGAUCCGUAACUGGUCUGAGAGGAUGAUCAGUCACACUGGAACUGAGACACUGCCCAGACUCCUACGGGAGGCAGCAGUGGGGAAUAUUGCACAAUUGGCGCAAGCCGGAUGCAGCCAUGCCGCGUGUAUGAAGAAGGCCUUAGGGUUGUAAAGUACUUUCAGCGGGGAGGCGUUACCCGCAGAAGAAGCACCGGCUAACUCCGUGCCAGCAGCCGCGGUAAUAC